rnacentral:rRNA from 1 species
UACAGAGGGGGCAAGCGUUAUUCGGAAUUAUUGGGCGUAAAGGGCGCGUAGGCGGCUUGGCAAGUGGAUGGUGAAAUCCCUCGGCUUAACCGAGGAACUGCCGUCCAAACUGCUUCGCUUGAGACCGGGAGAGGUGAGUGGAAUUCCCAGUGUAGCGGUGAAAUGCGUAGAUAUUGGGAGGAACACCAGUGGCGAAGGGCGGCUCACUGGACCGGUACUGACGCUGAUGCGCGAAAAGCGUGGGGAGCAAACGGG